AUGCCCGGCCUCUCGCUGAAAAAAAAAGGCCACCUGGUGAAUAACUGCCCCGCGCGCUACCGCGGGAAGCCUCUAGAGGGCGCGGCAGUCUCGCUCAAGCGUCGAGGGGCGGGGCUUGUUGCCGUGGCGACCACUCCGUCAACAGCCUCCGCGGCUGUUCCUGUCUCCGUGGCCAUGGAGGACCGCCCCUCGGUUUUUAUCGGGUGUGGCAAUCUAGAAGCUGAUAAAAGGGUCUCGUUUCAUCGAUCUUCUCAAAGUGUAAUUGGUAAAAACUUGCCUGUUGUGAAGAUCUCAUCUCAAAAGAAACAGAAAUAUGUGGUGCAUUCAAGUAGCAGCCAUUUGUCCACUUGGCCAGCCUAUGAACCAGGGCAAGGAAUCCUUCAGAACCGAAAACCGUGCUCUCUCCCUGGUUGGCAAAGGUAGGUCUGGAUACGGCAUUGAGAUGUCAAGCUUUAAAAAAAACAGCAGGAAAUUUGAGGUUCAAAUAAACACAGCGAUACAAAGAUUU
rnacentral:lncRNA from 1 species